UAAGGGUUCGAAGACGAUCAGAUACCGUCGUAGUCUUAACUAUAAAUGAUACUGGCCAGGGAUAGGGCAAUGUCCAUCUCGACUCCCCCCGGACUUUUGGGAAACCAAAGCCUAUGAGUUCUGGGGGGAGUAUGGUCGCAAGGCUGAAAC
rnacentral:rRNA from 1 species